rnacentral:rRNA from 1 species
UACGAACUGUGCGAACGUUAUUCGGAAUCACUGGGCUUACAGGGUGCGUAGGCGGCUUAACAAGUCAGGUGUGAAAGCCCACGGCUCAACCGUGGAAUUGCGCUUGAAACUGUUCGGCUUGAGUAAGCUAGAGGUAUGCGGAACUUCCGGUGGAGCGGUGAAAUGUGUUGAUAUCGGAAGGAACACCAGAGGCGAAAGCGGCAUACUGGGGCUUGUCUGACGCUGAGGCACGAAAGCCAGGGGAGCAAACGGG